rnacentral:rRNA from 1 species
CCUUAAUUGUGUGCUCCAGACCAGCUGCGUGAGCAGCUGGUCUGUUAUCACAAGACUGACUACACCAAGUAGUCGGAAGUUUGAGGCAAUAACAGGUCUGUGAUGCCCUUUGAUGUUCUGGGCUGCACGCGCGCUACACUGACCUGGGCAGCGAGUAUUUGCUUUGUUGAGAAACACGGCUAAUCUUGUGAAACCAGGUCGUGCUGGGGAUAGAUCAUUGCAAUUGUUGGUCUUUAACGAGGAAUUCCUAGUAAGCGCAAGUCAUCAGCUUGCGUUGAUUACGUCCCUGCCCUUUGUACACACCGCCCGUCGCUACUACCGAUUGGGUGUAUUAGUGAGGUCUUCCGACAGAGUGAUCUGAAAGUUGAACAAACUUGUGCACCUAGAGGAAGUAAAAGUCG